rfam:Triticum aestivum genome assembly, contig: Triticum_aestivum_CS42_TGACv1_scaffold_406136_5BL
AAAGUACUCCCUCUGUCCCAAAAUUCUUGUCUUAGAUUUAUCUAGAUACGGAUGUAUCAAGUCACAUUUUAGUAUUAGAUACAUUCGUAUCUAGACAAAUCUAAGACAUGAAAUUUGGGAUAGAGGGAGUAGUUG